rnacentral:misc_RNA from 1 species
GGAAGUAAAAUCGUAACAAGGUUUCCGUAGGUGAACCUGCGGAGGAUCAUUACUGAGUUCUGGGGCAUUUGUAGUCUUUUCUUUUAGGGAGAUUGCAUCUGCUCUUUACCUCUUCCCCCUUUGAUAUUAUUUUUAUAGUUGCUUUGGUAGUUGCAUGUUUUUGCAGCUGCCAAGGGAUGUAUUUAAACUUCUGUUUAUCAAUAGUGAUGUUUCAGUAGUCUGAUUUUUAAUUACUUAAUAGUAUAUAAAACUUUCAACAAUGGAUCUCUUGGUUCUG